rnacentral:rRNA from 1 species
GGUAGUAUUAACAAUAAAACCCAUAAAACUUGGCGGUUGACACUUUUUAGAGAAACUCGCUUCAUAAUCGUAAAUACCCGAUAAUUUUCACUUAGAUUUCACAGCCUUUAUACCGCCGUUACAGAAUUAACCAAAAAUUUAAUUUCCUAACAACCACAGCAACAAAAUCAGGUCAAGGUGAAGCCAAUAUCCAAGAAGAAGUAAGUUACAUUAAUAAAAAAUUAAGGAAUAUAAUACAAAUAAAUUAAGAAAAAGAAUCUAAAAGUACUUAGAUACUAAAAUUAUCACAAGAAAUAAACAGUAUCAACGC